AGCAUAGCUGCCUUGAUUAGCUCUACCUGCUCCAAAUGAUUACUGUGCUCUCCUUCCUUCAUCCUUUAGGCUUACUGUACUUCAAAUUUCAGCUUUCAACUUUCAUCAAGAUAAAAAAGGGUUGCAAUGCAAACUCUCUGGGCUUGGCCUGGCGUUGCUUUGCUUUGCUUUACGCAGUUAGCUAGGCGGCCACAACCAUUUCCGAGUUCCUAUAUUUAUAUAUCUUCACUUGCGGAUAUCAUAUCAGCCAGAUUUGGUUAUUCUACUUCAAGAUUUGGUUAUUUUCAACUAUGUUUACUUAAGGCCACAUAGCUAUAAGCUUUAAGCUAGCUAUAGGUUGGUUUCUUCAAUACAAUGGUGCUAUGGAUGGCAUGGCAAGGCUCAGCUUAUGAAGAUACUUAAUUAAGGUCUCUGCUUUGGUUGAAGAAAAAUUAAAAUGAACCCGAGCAUCUAGGGUGUGAUAUUUCUGGGAUGUGCAGCAGGUACAAUCGCACAAUUACAAUACGAUAAUGUUGCGAACAAAAGAAAAUUGCAGUUGAUUGCAACUUUUCAGUUAUGAGUGACCAAGACACUCUGAUGCAAAUUAUUAGAGCACACUUACCUAUUUGGAAAAAGAAA